rnacentral:rRNA from 1 species
CCUACGGGAGGCUGCAGUGGGGAAUAUUGGACAAUGGUGGCAACCCUGAUCCAGCCAUGCCGCGUGUGUGAAGAAGGCCCUCGGGUUGUAAAGCACUUUCAGUGAGGAAGAACGCCUGGUGGUUAAUACCCAUCAGGAAAGACAUCACUCACAGAAGAAGCACCGGCUAACUCCGUGCCAGCAGCCGCGGUAAUACGGAGGGUGCGAGCGUUAAUCGGAAUUACUGGGCGUAAAGCGCGCGUAGGUGGCUUGAUAAGCCGGUUGUGAAAGCCCCGGGCUCAACCUGGGAACGGCAUCCGGAACUGUCAAGCUAGAGUGCAGGAGAGGAAGGUAGAAUUCCCGGUGUAGCGGUGAAAUGCGUAGAGAUCGGGAGGAAUACCAGUGGCGAAGGCGGCCUUCUGGACUGACACUGACACUGAGGUGCGAAAGCGUGGGUAGCAAACAGGAUUAGAUACCCUAGUAGUC